rnacentral:tRNA from 1 species
AAGCCCCGGCAGACGUUAAUCUGCGUCUUGAGAUUUGCAAUCUUACGUGUAUGCUCCACCACGGGGCU